AGAGUUUGAUCAUGGCUCAGAUUGAACGCUGGCGGCAGGCCUAACACAUGCAAGUCGAACGGUAACAGGAAGCAGCUUGCUGCUUCGCUGACGAGUGGCGGACGGGUGAGUAAUGUCUGGGAAGCUGCCUGAUGGAGGGGGAUAACUACUGGAAACGGUAGCUAAUACCGCAUAAUGUCGCAAGACCAAAGAGGGGGACCUUCGGGCCUCUUGCCAUCGGAUGUGCCCAGAUGGGAUUAGCUUGUUGGUGGGGUAACGGCUCACCAAGGCGACGAUCCCUAGCUGGUCUGAGAGGAUGACCAGCCACACUGGAACUGAGACACGGUCCAGACUCCUACGGGAGGCAGCAGUGGGGAAUAUUGCACAAUGGGCGCAAGCCUGAUGCAGCCAUGCCGCGUGUAUGAAGAAGGCCUUCGGGUUGUAAAGUACUUUCAGCGGGGAGGAAGGGAGUAAAGUUAAUACCUUUGCUCAUUGACGUUACCCGCAGAAGAAGCACCGGCUAACUCCGUGCCAGCAGCCGCGGUAAUACGGAGGGUGCAAGCGUUAAUCGGAAUUACUGGGCGUAAAGCGGACGCAGGCGGUUUGUUAAGUCAGAAGUGAAAUCCCCGGGCUCAACCUGGGAACUGCAUCUGAUACUGGCAAGCUUGAGUCUCGUAGAGGGGGGUAGAAUUCCAGGUGUAGCGGUGAAAUGCGUAGAGAUCUGGAGGAAUACCGGUGGCGAAGGCGGCCCCCUGGACGAAGACUGACGCUCGGGUGCGAAAGCGUGGGGAGCAAACAGGAUUAGAUACCCUGGUAGUCCACGCCGUAAACGAUGUCGACUUGGAGGUUGUGCCCUUGAGGCGUGGCUUCCGGAGCUAACGCGUUAAGUCGACCGCCUGGGGAGUACGGCCGCAAGGUUAAAACUCAAAUGAAUUGACGGGGGCCCGCACAAGCGGUGGAGCAUGUGGUUUAAUUCGAUGCAACGCGAAGAACCUUACCUGGUCUUGACAUCCACGGAAGUUUUCAGAGAUGAGAAUGUGCCUUCGGGAACCGUGAGACAGGUGCUGCAUGGCUGUCGUCAGCUCGUGUUGUGAAAUGUUGGGUUAAGUCCCGCAACGAGCGCAACCCUUAUCCUUUGUUGCCAGCGGUCCGGCCGGGAACUCAAAGGAGACUGCCAGUGAUAAACUGGAGGAAGGUGGGGAUGACGUCAAGUCAUCAUGGCCCUUACGACCAGGGCUACACACGUGCUACAAUGGCGCAUACAAAGAGAAGCGACCUCGCGAGAGCAAGCGGACCUCAUAAAGUGCGUCGUAGUCCGGAUUGGAGUCUGCAACUCGACUCCAUGAAGUCGGAAUCGCUAGUAAUCGUGGAUCAGAAUGCCACGGUGAAUACGUUCCCGGGCCUUGUACACACCGCCCGUCACACCAUGGGAGUGGGUUGCAAAAGAAGUAGGUAGCUUAACCUUCGGGAGGGCGCUUACCACUUUGUGAUUCAUGACUGGGGUGAAG
rnacentral:rRNA from 1 species